GAACGCUAGCGGCAGGCCUAACACAUGCAAGUCGAGGGGUAACAGGAGAGCUUGCUCUUGCUGACGACCGGCGCACGGGUGCGUAACGCGUAUACAAUCUACCUUAUAGAGGAGAAUAGCCCAGAGAAAUUUGGAUUAAUGCUCCAURGUAUUAUUGAGUAGCAUUACUUAAUAAUUAAACAUUUAUGGCUAUAAGAUGAGUAUGCGUCCUAUUAGCUAGAUGGUAAGGUAACGGCUUACCAUUGCUACGAUAGGUAGGGGUCCUGAGAGGGAGAUCCCCCACACUGGUACUGAGACACGGACCAGACUCCUACGGGAGGCAGCAGUGAGGAAUAUUGGACAAUGGGAGCAAUCCUGAUCCAGCCAUGCCGCGUGCAGGAAGACUGCCCUAUGGGUUGUAAACUGCUUUUAUACAGGAAGAAAAAGGUGUACGUGUACACUGUUGACGGUA
rnacentral:rRNA from 1 species